AUACAACACAGGGGAGAUCCCAUGCUCAUGAAAGUAGUUUUCCCAGGGCAUGAGGCCUGUUCCUUGUACUCUAGGCAGGCUGACUCCUACAAGUUUCCCCAAAUGUGGGAAACUUUACUGCACAAUUUUGUGGUAAUGGGGGACUGUUUUUUUCACUUUCCCUCU
rnacentral:snRNA from 1 species